AAUCUUCCGCAAUGGACGCAAGUCUGACGGAGCAACGCCGCGUGAGGGAUGAAGGUUUUCGGAUCGUAAAACUCUGUUGUUAGGGAAGAAAAAGUACCGUUCAAAUAGGUCGGUACCUUGACGGUACCUAACCAGAAAGCCACGGCUAACUACUUCCCAGCAGCCGCGGUAAUACGUAGGUGGCAAGCGGUAUCCGGAAUUAUUGGGCGUAAAGCGCGCGCAGGCGGUUUCUUAAGUCUGAUGUGAAAGCCCACGGCUCAACCGUAGAGGGUCAUUGGAAACUGGGGAACUUGAGUGCAGAAGAGGAGAGUGGAAUUCAAUGUGUAGCGGUGAGAUGCGUAGAGAUAUGGAGGAACACCAGUGGCGAAGGCGACUCUCUAGUCUGCAACUGACGCUGAGGCGCGAAAGCGUGGGGAGCAAACA
rnacentral:rRNA from 1 species